GUAAGGAGUUUUCGGCAAUGGGGGGAACCCUGACCGAGCAACGCCGCGUGAGUGAUGACGGCCCUAUGGGUUGUAAAGCUCUGUUAUAAGGGACGAACAGCUUUGCUAGGAAAUGAGCAGAGUCUGACGGUACUUUAUCAGAAAGCCACGGCUAACUACGUGCCAGCAGCCGCGGUAAUACGUAGGUGGCAAGCGUUAUCCGGAAUUAUUGGGCGUAAAGAGUGAGCAGGCGGCAGAUUAAGUUUGAGGUUAAAGCGUGGGGCUCAACCCCAUAAAGCCUUGAAAACUGAUCAGCUAGAGUACGAGAGAUGUGAAGGGAACUCCAUGUGUAGCGGUGAAAUGCGUAGAUAUAUGGAAGAACACCAGUGGCGAAGGCGCUUCACAAGCUCGAAACUGACGCUCAGUCACGAAAGCGUGGGUAGCAAAUAGGAUUAGAUACCCUUGUAGUCC
rnacentral:rRNA from 1 species